GAUGAACGCUGGCGGCGUGCCUAAUACAUGCAAGUCGAGCGAACAGACGAGGAGCUUGCUCCUCUGACGUUAGCGGCGGACGGGUGAGUAACACGUGGAUAACCUACCUAUAAGACUGGGAUAACUUCGGGAAACCGGAGCUAAUACCGGAUAAUAUAUUGAACCGCAUGGUUCAAUAGUGAAAGACGGUUUUGCUGUCACUUAUAGAUGGAUCCGCGCCGCAUUAGCUAGUUGGUAAGGUAACGGCUUACCAAGGCAACGAUGCGUAGCCGACCUGAGAGGGUGAUCGGCCACACUGGAACUGAGACACGGUCCAGACUCCUAAGGGAGGCAGCAGUAGGGAAUCUUCCGCAAUGGGCGAAAGCCUGACGGAGCAACGCCGCGUGAGCGAUGAAGGUCUUCGGAUCGUAAAACUCUGUUAUUAGGGAAGAACAAAUGUGUAAGUAACUAUGCACGUCUUGACGGUACCUAAUCAGAAAGCCAUGGCUAACUACGUG
rnacentral:rRNA from 1 species